CAGUUUUAUUCUUUAAAACAAUUGUCUUUUUCUGUACACAGCAAAUUGUAGUUAUAAUAAUUAUAUUGCGAUGGAAGCCCGCAUUAGUGUUGGGCUUUGAGUUUUGUAUGAGGGCCUUCCACUCGAUCUCCAUCCAAAAUUUGAAAUAUACGCAAGCAUGUCUGUAUAUAUAUAUAUAUAUAUAUAUAUAUGUCCUCUAUUUUUCAGACUAUAUAUAUAGAUAGGUGUACUGUAUGCAUCUGUUUAAGCCGGAGGCACCUCUCCAUCUUCACCUCUCCCAUCUCGGAGGUCUCCAUAAGAGCCCGAUGUCUCCGCGACGGAGGCCAUUGGGGAGGCCGAUCGAUGAGAAUGAGAAUUCGCCAUUAGAGGCUCUUCUUACGAGAGAACACGAUAUCCAGCAAGUGCUUCCUUCGACGCCGUGAAAUCUCCUCCCGUAAGGACCGAGCUUUCUCCAUUAGCACCGCCCAGGAGAGGCUCCGCAACAUGCGCCUCGUCGAGCAAUAUGACGCACAGGAUCCCAAGGGGCACCGUUUACCCUUUUUGAUAAAAAGAAGUAGGGUUAUCGAGAUAGUGGCCGCGCGUGACUCUGUCUUUGCUCUUACCCGUUCUGGUGUUUGCACAGCGUUCAGCAAGGGUGCUUCGCCUCACCCCUACCCAUUUUCCCUUUUAAUUCUCUGCGUUUCGAUGGCCUGUCUUACUAAUUGCAAAGAUCAACAAAAGGCCUGAUGAAGUCAUCCGCAGCUCGUUCUACGACAAGAAAAAUGAUUCUCUCACCACAGUUUCAGUUUAUGCUUCAGACAAUUUCAGCUCUUUGAAAUGCAGAUCCACUGGGAUUGAGUCUGUCUCCGCUCCUACCUCCUAUUUGGUUACCUUUUGAGCUGCCACCCAGACUUACUCACUCCUCGGUGUCCAUUUCUCAACUGCUAGGCAUAUGCUGAGGGCUCAACCUGACGCUGGGUUUGCUCUGUUUGAGUCUGAAUCAUUCCAGGUUUCAUGGAGUUUGAUGAUGUUAAUGGGAAGGUGCUGACGUAUUCCCUGCAGCUUCUUUGACUGAGGAGUGUUUCUGUGUGGAAUUUUCAUCUUCCAUGGCAUCCAGAGUGUAACACGAAUAAUAUUUGCAUAACGAUUGAUAAGGAUAUGAUCGUUUCAUACCCCAAGGCAGAUGGAUAAAAGGAGACGGUAAGUCUCAACAGGGACACAGAGACGCUGGCUCCCCUCUCAAGUUGCUGCAGAAGGAGAAGCAACCUUUAACUGAUUUCGUUUUCAUCCAACCAACAGAGGAAUAUUAAUGGAAGUGCCUGCAAGAGGUGUAAUCUCGUCUUCGUUCCCACAGUACUUUUUAAAAAGCUUUGUCCAUUUCCAAGAGGCAUCAGCCCCACAUGUCUACGAGCUUUGCACUGAAUCAUAUUUCAGACAGACAUAGAAGAAGCACCACAUUUCACUUGUGGGGCCGAUAUAAAGAGAUGCGCGUUGUGGUGUUGACAAUGCAUUGCCGUAAGCACCCUCCUCCACCACCGGCCCUCUGAGGGAAUCCAUGGUCGGCGGUGGUGAACAAAAAACAUGUCUCUGUGUAUAACAUGUUCAUAUAUAUAUAUAUAUAUAUAUAAAGGCACCUUACAUGUAGCAACUUAUUUACAAAAAGGGUCAGGUAUUGUUGUGUAAAGAA